rnacentral:rRNA from 1 species
UACGGGGGGGAGCAAGCGUUGUUCGGAUUUACUGGGCGUAAAGGGCGCGUAGGCGGCCACCGCAAGUCGACUGUGAAAUCUCCGGGCUUAACUCGGAAAGGUCAGCCGAUACUGCGGGGCUAGAGUGCAGAAGGGGCAACUGGAAUUCUCGGUGUAGCGGUGAAAUGCGCAGAUAUCAGGAGGAACACCGGUGGCGAAGGCGGCUCUCUGGGCCUUACCUGACGCUGAGGAGCGAAAGCGUGGGUAGCGAACAGG